UUUGUCGUUCGUCAAAAACCCUGUGUAGUCGAUGACGCUGAUUGACGACGCUUAAAUUAGUGACCCCCUUAGCCUUAGACAAAUCUAGAAAAUUUGUAGUGUGCGAGAAAGCCCCGCAAUCCUUUUCGACUACGCGCAGAACACAUCCAAGUUUGUGUCUGCCGGCGUUGGCAUUGAUUCCUCUGAAAGAACCAUCUUUGGUGGCCAGGUUUGAAACGGGCGUCUCCAUCAUGCUGCAGUGGUAAUACGUUGGCGACACGUGGUCGCUUAGGAUCGAAACCGGUCGUAGACACUUCCUGUUUGGUGCCACAAGGUACCAGCCGUGUGAAGCAGUGCUUAACGUCAAUUACGGACUAAAAAUACAGCUUUAUUUCGGUUAGGAACUGGAUAUAAAUACGCUCAGUUUCGUGCAUGGAGGAACCAACCGUGAGAAGCAAUGCUUAAUUAAGAUAGUAUCGGAGGCAGAACGUUUAAACUAAUCUGGUUUAACGAUUUGGAUGGGGACACUUACGGCUAAGAUGUAAUGUGCAUGCAUGGACGAAACUAUAACUUGAAGUUAGGAUAAGGAGAUCAGGAAAUGCUAAAGUGCGUGGGGCUGGAACUCCAACUAGCCAGGACAAUGCUACGGCAGCAACUUUUCAAAGGCCUG